rnacentral:misc_RNA from 1 species
UCGUAACAAGGUUUCCGUAGGUGAACCUGCGGAAGGAUCAUUACCGAGUGCGGGCUGCCUCCGGGCGCCCAACCUCCCACCCGUGACUACCUAACACUGUUGCUUCGGCGGGAAGCCCUCUCGGGGGCGAGCCGCCGGGGACUACUGAACUUCAUGCCUGAGAGUGAUGCAGUCUGAGUCUGAAUAUAAAAUCAGUCAAAACUUUCAACAAUGGAUCUCUUGGUUCCGGCAUCGAUGAAGAACGCAGCGAACUGCGAUAAGUAAUGUGAAUUGCAGAAUUCAGUGAAUCAUCGAGUCUUUGAACGCACAUUGCGCCCCCUGGCAUUCCGGGGGGCAUGCCUGUCCGAGCGUCAUUGCUGCCCAUCAAGCCCGGCUUGUGUGUUGGGUCGUCGUCCCCCCCGGGGGACGGGCCCGAAAGGCAGCGGCGGCACCGUGUCCGGUCCUCGAGCGCAUGGGGCUUUGUCACCCGCUCGAUUAGGGCCGGCCGGGCGCCAGCCGACGUCUCCAACCAUUUUUUUCAGGUUGACCUCGGAUCAGGUAGGGAUACCCGCUGAACCUAAGCAUAUCAAU